CAAAGUUGUUUCUUGUUUUUUUUUUCUUGAAAUCCAAAGAAUUUUUCUUACUUUAUACAUAACAUAGGUCAUCGAUUCAGUAUUGGAUAAAAAACGAAAAAAAUGGGGUUCAAAUCAUUUUAUCGACAUGAGUGUUCUAUAUC